AUUGAACGCUGGCGGCAGGCCUAACACAUGCAAGUCGAACGAGUGGCGGACGGGUGAGUAAUGUCUGGGAAACUGCCUGAUGGAGGGGGAUAACUACUGGAAACGGUAGCUAAUACCGCAUACCAUCGGAUGUGCCCAGAUGGGAUUAGCUAGUGGGUGGGGUAAAGGCUCACCUGGGCGACGAUCCCUAGCUGGCCUGAGAGGAUGACCAGCCACACUGGAACUAGGACACGGUCCGGACUCCUCCGGGAGGCAGCGUUGGGGAAUAUUGCACAAGGGGCGCAAGCCUGAGGCACCAAUGCCGCGUGUAUGAAGAAGGCCUUCGGGUUGUAAAGUACUUUCAGCGGGGAGGCGUUACCCGCAGAAGAAGCACCGGCUAACUCCGUGCCAGCAGCCGCGGUAAUUC
rnacentral:rRNA from 1 species